rnacentral:tRNA from 1 species
AGGGUUAUAUUUAAUUAUAAUAUUUGAAUUGCACUCAAAAGGUAUCCGAGAGAUUAAUCUUU